rnacentral:lncRNA from 1 species
AAAAAAUGACUUUUUAAAGUAUUGGAUCGGAAAUUUUAAUUCUUUUCCUCUCUUGGAUUGAGAUCAUUAGGCCAAAUGUAAUACUUUCCCCAUUGACUUUCUGCUCUUAUCAGGAGGUACCCAUGAUCCCUAGGCCCCACUAUGCCCAGCCCGGCUGUGUCUACUUCAUCUGUUUACUCCGAGAUGACUUGCUGCUUCGUCAGGGUAAGGAAAAGGGCUCAAACUCCUCCCGCAUCCCGUCCCCCCACCCCCCCCCAUUUCGUGUGCGUGCUUGUGUGUGUGUGUGUGCGCGCGCGCGCGCGUGCGUGUGUGCACUUUGCAUGCUUAGGAUUGCCUGCCUGGGCUUGUGGAAGGAUCUGUUGUUUACUUCGGCAAGGGAAGGUUACUGUAGGCUAUAACCCUGAGCACAUGACUCUACCCCACUUCUAGCAACCAUUGUCAGUAGCUCUUCAGUAAUGGUUGGGCCUUAUGAGUCCCUUCCUUUGAUUUGAUAGCUUUCGUUUGGGAGGAGGGAGAAGGUGUUAUUGUUGUUGGUUGUAUCUUGUUAUUACUGGGUUUUGGUAUUUCAGACUUUAGCUCAGGCCAGGCCUCAAACUCCCAGGUGUCCUCCUGCCCCAACCUCCCAAGUUCUGGAAUGAGAGGCAUCAGCUCCUCUGCCUGACUUACACUAGUUUCCUGUUACUUACUUUCUGUUUGCUGGGAUGCUGAUUGAUCCAAAGCUUCAAGUAUGUAGGUCGAGUAACCUAGAACUGAGCUGUACCCAAAGUCCUUAUAGUAGCGUUAAACCUAGUUGGCCAGGUAUAGUGGCACAAUAUCAUUAAUCCCAUCUGGAGGCAGAGAAGGGUAGAUCUCUGAAUUUGAGGUUAGCCUGGUCUACUUAGUGAGUUCCAGGCCAGCCAUAGCUACAUAGUAAGACCUGUCUCAAAGGCAAGAUAAAAAAUAUAUAUAUACUGAUAAACCUAGUUAAAAGAC